rnacentral:misc_RNA from 1 species
AUCCUCCGGUCAAACUACAAGGCAGGUUCUUUCUGAAUCCUCUUUAAUCUUCAAUUUUGUUUACUUGUUGAUGGUAUCAGUUUGCUUGAUCAAUUGAAUUUGGUAUAUUCAACACCCAAAAUUUACAACCAAACUCUACACCCAAAAAUUUACAACCAAACUCUUUAUCAUGUUGGUAAUUGCAAAGAAAAUUCAUAGGUGGCAAUUAGUGCAUUUGAAUUAUUUUUCAGAAAACUGAUAUGCUUAAAAGUGUAAUUUUUUUUGUUCUCCUGUGAUCAUUGAUGCCAAUUCAUAUUAUGUCAUGAAAACCCAGAUUCCUAGAACUUCUAUACCUGGAUAAUUGUUUUUUUAGGAGGGAGAAAUUUUGAAGCUUAAUUAAGUAGAGCUGGGUUUACUGGGUUUUAUUUAUUUAUCUAUUUGUUUAUUUAUUUAUGGUUUUGGGUUAUAAGUUUCAUUAUUCAUUUUUGUCUCUACUAGACUCUAGAGUAUGUCAAGCAAUUUCAGUUGAGUUGCUGAAAAUGUGGUUUUUGUCAUUACUUAUCAGUCAAUUUUUAGGUUCAAGGUCUGCAUUUAUUUGUCUAAA